rnacentral:rRNA from 1 species
GACGAACGCUGGCGGCGUGCUUAACACAUGCAAGUCGAACGGAAAGGCCCUGCUUGCAGGGUACUCGAGUGGUGAACGGGUGAGUAACACGUGGGUGAUCUGCACUGCACUUCGGGAUAAGCGUGAGUAACUGGGUCUAAUACCGGACAGGAGCCUUCUUUCGUGUGGUGGUUGGAGAGUUUGUUCGGUGUAGUAUGAGCGUGCGGCCUAUCAGCGUGUUGGUGGGGUAAUGGCUUAACAAGGCGGCUACGGGAAGCCGGCAUGAGGGGGGGUACGGCGACAUGCGGACUGGGAACUGGGCCACAGUCCUGCGGGAGGCAGGAGGGGGGAAUAGUGAACAUUGGGCGAAAGCCUGAUGCAGGAACGCCGCGUGGGGGGUGAAGGCCGUAGGGUUGUAAGCUCUUAUGGCUAGGUACGAAGCAUUUUUGUGACGGUACCUAGAUAAGAAGCACCGGCUAACUACGUG